rnacentral:rRNA from 1 species
GGAGGGUCCAAGCGUUAUCCGGAAUCAUUGGGUUUAAAGGGUCCGUAGGCGGGCGAUUAAGUCAGAGGGUGAAAUCCCACAGCUCAACUGUGGGAACUGCCUUUGAUACUGGUUGUCUUGAGUUACAGUGAAGUAGAUAGAAUAUGUAGUGUAGCGGUGAAAUGCAUAGAUAUUACAUAGAAUACCGAUUGCGAAGGCAGUCUACUAACUGUUAACUGACGCUAAGGGACGAAAGCGUGGGGAGCGAACAGGAUUAGAUACCCUGGUAGUCCACGCCGUAAACGAUGGUCACUAGUUGUUGGGGCUUUAUGCCUCAGUGAUUAAGCGAAAGUGAUAAGUGACCCACCUGGGGAGUACGAUCGCAAAGAUUG